rnacentral:rRNA from 1 species
GCUUACCAUGGCAAUGAUGCGUAGCCGAACUGAGAGGUUGAUCGGCCACAUUGGGACUGAGACACGGCCCAAACUCCUACGGGAGGCAGCAGUAGGGAAUCUUCCACAAUGGGCGAAAGCCUGAUGGAGCAACGCCGCGUGGGUGAAGAAGGUCUUCGGAUCGUAAAACCCUGUUGUUAGAGACGCCCGUGCGUGAGAGUAACUGUUCACGUUUCGACGGUAUCUAACCAGAAAGCCACGGCUAACUACGUGCCAGCAGCCGCGGUAAUACGUAGGUGGCAAGCGUUAUCCGGAUUUAUUGGGCGUAAAGGGAACGCAGGCGGUCUUUUAAGUCUGAUGUGAAAGCCUUCGGCUUAACCGGAGUAGUGCAUUGGCAACUGGGGGCCUUGAGUGCAGGAGAGGUGAGUGGAAUUCCUUGUG